rnacentral:rRNA from 1 species
AACGUAGGGUGCAAGCGUUGUUCGGAAUUACUGGGCGUAAAGCGCGUGUAGGUGGUUGGCUAAGUCCAGCGUGAAAGCCCUCGGCUCAACCGAGGAAGUGCGUUGGAUACUGGUCGGCUGGAGUUCGGGAGAGGGAGGUGGAAUUCCUGGUGUAGCGGUGAAAUGCGUAGAUAUCAGGAGGAACACCCGUGGCGAAGGCGGCCUCCUGGCCCGAAACUGACACUGAAACGCGAAAGCGUGGGGAUCAAACAGGAUUAGAUACCCCUGUA